rnacentral:ncRNA from 1 species
UCAAUUUUUUUCGGGUGCUGGUGGAAACCGGCUGAGAUUGCAGUUAUACCGCUGCUGACCGUUUGGAACCUGUUGGAUAAUGCCAGCGUAGGGAAUGUGAUUAGGGAAACU